GCUUACGGCCAUACCACCCUGAACACGCCCGAUCUCGUCCGAUCUCGGAAGCUAAGCAGGGUCGGGCCUGGUUAGUACUUGGAUGGGGACCGCCUGGGAAUACCAGGUGCUGUAAGCU
rnacentral:rRNA from 1 species